UCCUCCAAUCCCUCCAAACCCUAGGCUAAUCCCAUCCCACUGGCUGCUAGCUCCCACCCCGCCCUCUUCCUGGGCUUCUCCAUCGUCGUCCUCGCGCCAUGCCGCGCCUCGGGAGAAACGGACGAUGGCCGGCAGAGCAGUGCAGGCCGGCGAAGCAGUGCAGCCGCGCCGCCGCCGCUGCCCGUCGCGCGGGAGGAGCUGCUGGUGGCCGGCAGGAGCAGCCCAGCCAUCUCCUACCUUUGCAUCGUCCUCCUCCGCCGGAUCUAUCGCCCUCCUCUCCGCCCCCAGUCCUCCGCCAGCUCCCUGGCCCUCCCCUCCUGCAAGCCAUUUAGGUGAGUAGAAUCGCGCAGCCCACGGCCGAACGAAUCAAGGAUCCACGACCAGCAGCAUGUCCAUUCGAUUGGAGGAUCCUAGGUUUAUGUCUCUCUUUAGAUUUUUUCUGCUACGCAUCAGCCUAGGUUUUCACCGGUUUCCUGAUGGUCUUGGAACAUGAGGACGUGAGGUACCACUGGGGAAGAAGACUUGGAAGAGAGAGUCAUGAUGUAUUCUGGGGCUACAAGAACAAGCUCUGUAGAAGACUUGGACCAAAUCUCACUGUGUGUUCAUUUCUGUUCAUAAAGUGCUUAAUAUUUUUUGUCUGUUGCUUGAUGCAUGCUGCAUGAUUAAGAUUAUCAGUAACUUUUUUUGUUUGCGGAGAAGAUGGAAAGAAUCAAUGGGUUGCAGAGAAGAAGGAAAAGGAUCAAUGGAAGGGUCUGAUUUUAUAGGAGCUCGUAUACUUAAUUGGACCCAAGCAAUCUAUCCUAUUGUGUGCAUUUGUACAGAGAAAAGAAAAUAGCUACAGUUUGUGGUAGUUAGUCAACUGAAUCCUCUAACCUUUAAGUAACAAUCUGAUCCAGUGUAUUCUUGUUAGUCUUCCUUUUCAUGGUCAGCUGCCACACACUUUGGACUCCAUCGCGUCUUAGCAAAUGUAGCUCCAAUGGCCCACUCUUGCCUCAUCUGUUGCAUCUCAUAUUCUGUGCUUAGGAUCAAGUUAUUGAUUAAAAUAUUAUGUCUUUAUUUAUCAAUUACCAAGGAGGUAUUGGAUUUAUUAAUGGGCACUGCAGAUGGUGCUAAGGCUCUGAUCGAUGUCAUUGGCCGAUUGAUAUUGUAUAUAAUUAUCAACACCUAUGUUCCAAUGCAUAUGGUUGUUCAGUUUUUUUAUUACUCAUCUGCAGUACUCUUUUUAGCUUUGAUGUGUGAGGUUCGAUUUGGUUUGUGAUUUUCAGUCGCAUGUGUUAAUGACUUACCUGUCCAGGGGUCCUGCUCCCUGGCAUCUCCGGCUACCGCUACAUCUAUGGCGGUCUCAUCACCAUCAGGUACCUAUGUAAAGAAUGUUGUAUGGAGCUAGCUUUCCCAAUUUUCAAGAAGGAUUACAAGGAUAUGUCCACGGGUGAUAUUGUUUCCGUCUUCAGUAACGGUUAAUAUGCCACUGCUGUGCCGCAACAGAGCGCUCAGCUUAUUUCAAUCAUUUCUUUCUCAGGUUCUUACUGGUGGAAGCAUUUUUGUUCUAAAUUUUUACAUGUGUUCUAGCAUAUUAUAGUGUUUGGGAUACUUUUGCUACAUGUAGGAACAAGGAGUAGAUUAAGCAGAAUAAAUAAAACCUGAGAGAGGUCAUUUAGUCAUGAAUUAUUCCACAAAAAACAAAUGACAAUAACCAGAGAACAAAUCAAGACUAUAUACUCCAAUUGCUUUUGGGAACAUACAGUAUAACAUGGCAGGGAGUAGCAACAACAUACAGAUUUUAUUUCAAUACAGUACUCCUUUGCUUAGUGUUGUGUAACAUUGGCAGCCUUCGCUUUGCAUUGCUUUGCAUAGGCUUGGGCUUGGGCUGCUUGCUUAGUGUUGUAGAAGAAGUAAAAAAAACCUAGCAAUCCACAAAAGUUUGGCAAAAGGAGGGAGGAACAGAGAUGUGCUUUGCAGUUCCGUAGGAUCAGAUUCCAUGCCAAAUGCAUAUUCAUGGUGCGACUGUCAACCAGAACAAAGAAACCAAGCUUACUAGCCCUUGCUUUCCUUUUGUUUUUAGGUUCAGUGAUAGUGUGGUCUGUGCCUCAGUGGUGGAUGCCAGUGUAGUGGCACUAUGGCAGCAUAGCAAUGGCAAAUUGACAGUAGGACAUGGAGGACAGUCGAGCUAUUGCCGCCUAGAAUUUCUCCGCCAUGGAAUUUAGUUAGGGGAUUUGUGGCUCGGACUUUGGCCAUAAAUAAACACAUAUCGCGCCGCCGGGAGGAGCUCGCUAUGCGUGGCAGUGGUGUAAGGGGCCACCGUCACCUGAGGGGAAUCACCGGCAGUCUCCUGCAGCUUACCCAUAUUCUGCCGGCCAUGAACUGGUAGAUGGAAGUAGUGCAGACUAUGAUGCUUUCUUUCAAAUUUGGGAGGAACUGCGUCGUCCAAAGUUUGUUGAUAAUUAACCCAACAAGCUCUCCAUCACGCUGUCAUCUUGGUCGUAACCAUUGCUUGGCUCUGCUGGUCAUUGCUGUUUUGCCUCUGCCGCCAAGCAGUCGUAGAGCUGAUGUUGACGAGCAUGCCUCAAGAGUAGUACAGCCAGCGGCCGCGUGUUGUGUUGUCGCUGGUAGGAGCGGUUGGUGGCCAGCGGGAGCAGCACAUUUCCUGCACUUGCACUUCAUGGCCCUGCACUGCUACUUCCUCAUCUUGGUGCUCGACGGGAGGAAAACGAGCAGCCGCCGAACUCUAUCAGAGUGAGACUCCUAGGACAGAGAUUGAGAUGAACCAGAUAUGGCAGAUUAGGCCAUUCAUGGACCACAAUGAUGAUAUUCUGCUUGAUGGAAGAGCCUAUGCCAAGUUCCUCUUGGUUGCAGACCUUGCCUUUGUAUGGAUAUACAUGGACGCCAAGGUGUGCUAUGUGUUCUUCAUCAAAUCCUCCAAAUGGUUCAGCUUCAAAAGCACCAAAAUUUUAUUUCAAUACAUGGGUGAGUGGAGACUUACUCAUUUUCCCAUCUUUAUACCGGGUUGUACCGAUGACAACUGUCAUUCUGCUCUCCCGCUUAGAAGGACCUCUCUGGAAAUCAUGGUAUUUUGUCGGCCCUUCCGGUCUUAUAUGAUGAGAUUUUUCCAAGAACCACCUCUUAUGUCUUGCCUACAUUUGAAGUGUACGAAUUACUCUUAAAUUCUUGAUGAAUAGGAUUUUGGAGGUUCUGUAUGGACACUAGGAUGAAGGCUCAAUGCACACAGUAGGUUAUUAUUCCAUAGGCAUAUUGUGCUUAUUACCAGGCAAGAAGGGUUUGAUAUCCUCCGCCUGAGCUGGGCGUCGGCACUAGCAAUAUUGCUUUCUCUGCACUAUCCUGAGGGAGACCCAAAGGAAAAACGGUAUCUGUUCUUUCUUUCCAGUUUAAGCGACAUCUACUUAAUGUUAUUUUGAUGAAAUAUAUGAGUAAGCUCCAAGGAAAAUAUGUGGGUUCCAAGUAUUGACCUGUUGUGGUUAAUUUCUGCUUCGUCUCUUUCUCCUCGAAGCAUGUCCAUUUCAUCAAUGUGAAUGCUUUGUUUCAAAGACUGAAAAGGAAGUUGUUGGACUACAACUCAAAUGGAUCUGGUUCAGGUUCAAAAAGUUACAGCUUAGCCUUGUAUGAUCCGAAGAUUACCGGAUUAUACAUAAGCUGUAAUAAUUAUACUUGUACCUGGGCUCCAUUUGACCAAUUGCCUACCUCCUUCCAUGUUCUUAUUUUUUUUGGAAGUGAAUCCUGAUCCCUUGUAUGAUAUUUGUUCAUGUUCUAGACCUGAACAUCUGUAUAUUAAUUCAAAGAAGGACAAUUGUCAUGUGAGUCCAAUCUCAAAGGCUGUAGUCCAACACUGACCACAAGUAAGCCCCAUGGCCUCCUCUCCUUCUCCCCUGCUUGCUGGAGGAUGGUACGAAACAGUGUGUAGCAUUUGGCAGAGAAACUGUCAAAGUACUCUUGGAAGGAGCGGUUCUCAUGCAAGGAAGUAAUCGAGGGAACCUAUCUUGGAGUGAUAUAAAUCAUCUAGCCAAACGUACUUCAACAAAGCACUGUGUCACCUGGAUUUUCUGUGCAUGUUGUAACUUCUUUGUAAAUAUCAAAAUAUGGCUAAUUAAUUGACGCAGUUAGCUGAGUUCUUGUUAGGACGUUGUACUAUCCAAAUAUGUUCAGGCUCGUUCAAAAAAAAAUCUGGUUGGGUGAGUUUCAGUUUGUUUGGCUUCAGGGUCAUAGAGUAAUGCAGCAUGUGUGCUCACGUAAUUUUCAUACCUUAUGAGACAUCUGU